GCAGACAUGUCCGAGUGGUUAAGGAGAUUGACUCGAAAUCAAUUGGGCUCUGCCCGCGUAGGUUCGAAUCCUGCUGUCUGCG
rfam:Caenorhabditis remanei strain PB4641 contig235.9, whole genome shotgun sequence.